rnacentral:rRNA from 1 species
GAGUUUGAUCCUGGCUCAGAUUGAACGCUGGCGGCAUGCCUUACACAUGCAAGUCGAACGGCAGCACGGGAGCUUGCUCCUGGUGGCGAGUGGCGAACGGGUGAGUAAUGCAUCGGAACGUAUCCUGGAGUGGGGGAUAACGUAGCGAAAGUUACGCUAAUACCGCAUAUUCUGUGAGCAGGAAAGCGGGGGACCUUCGGGCCUCGCGCUCUUGGAGCGGCCGAUGUCGGAUUAGCUAGUUGGUGAGGUAAAGGCUCACCAAGGCGACGAUCCGUAGCAGGUCUGAGAGGAUGAUCUGCCACACUGGAACUGAGACACAGUCCAGACUCCUACGGGAGGCAGCAGUGGGGAAUUUUGGACAAUGGGGGCAACCCUGAUCCAGCCAUGCCGCGUGAGUGAAGAAGGCC